GACGAACGCUGGCGGCGUGCUUAACACAUGCAAGUCGAACGGAAAGGCCCUGCUUUUGUGGGGUGCUCGAGUGGCGAACGGGUGAGUAACACGUGAGUAACCUGCCCUUGACUUUGGGAUAACUUCAGGAAACUGGGGCUAAUACCGGAUAGGAGCUCCUGCUGCAUGGUGGGGGUUGGAAAGUUUCGGCGGUUGGGGAUGGACUCGCGGCUUAUCAGCUUGUUGGUGGGGUAGUGGCUUACCAAGGCUUUGACGGGUAGCCAGCCUGAGAGGGUGACCGGCCACAUUGGGCCUGAGAUACGGCCCAGACUCCUACGGGAGGCAGCAGUGGGGAAUAUUGCACAAUGGGCGGAAGCCUGAUGCAGCAACGCCGCGUGCGGGAUGACGGCCUUCGGGUUGUAGACCGCUUUCGCCUGUGACGAAGCGUGAGUGACGGUAAUGGGUAAAGAAGCACCGGCUAACUACGUG
rnacentral:rRNA from 1 species